rnacentral:lncRNA from 1 species
AGCCAGAGUGUGUCUUAAGAAUGCAGAUGUCUGGGAUCCACUUAUACAUUGGCUCUCUGAAGCCUCCCAGGAAGUGUGCUGAUCAACCUGAAAACCAUGUCUCUCAACAGUCUCUAUGGCCAUGUUUUCUUCAGUACCUUAGGCUCUCCUAUAUGAAGGAUAACUGGGGGUGGG